rnacentral:lncRNA from 1 species
GUACCUCAGUAAGAGCAGGCUUGAUGAUAAUGAUUCUCUCUCUUGUCCUUAAAAAGUUCAGUUGAAAUUCAGAACACUGCAGCUAAUGAGUGAAUUACAGUGGAAUGGCUGCUGAAAAUUUUCCAGGAGAAGUGUAACCAAGAGGAAAUACUGUUUGAAAAGAAAUAUUUUGCCCUUUCAUGUGGAUUCUCACACUCUUUGUAUGUGUCUUGCCUGUGGAAGCAGCAAAGUGGACUGCAGCAGCACUUUCUUCCCCUCUGGCUUCUUGUUUCUGCCCUGCAGCAGCUCCUAAUUAUGACCAAGCAGGACUUUUAUCACCCAGGAGUCCAUCCUCCCUAAGGGGCAUCAGCACUGGUGGCCAAACCCUGUCAUUUGGCUGCUGCAACAAGAGCCAGAGUAAUAGCAGGAAAGGACAGAGAUGUAGGUGCUCAGGCUAUUUAGAACUGCUAGUGGCCUAUGGCCAGGCUGUGCUUUCAGAAGACGUCAAAGUCGGAAUUUCCAGAAGCAGCAAGCUAUGGCUAGUUACGUAUUGA